rnacentral:rRNA from 1 species
AUUGAACGCUGGCGGCAGGCCUAACACAUGCAAGUCGAGCGAGCGGCGGAGGGGUGAGUAAUGUCGGGGAAACUGCCUGAUGGAGGGGGAUAAGUACUGGAAACGGUAGCUAAUACCGCAUACCAUCAGAUGUGCCCAGAUGGGAUUAGCUAGUGGGUGGGGUAACGGCUCACCUAGGUGACGAUCCCUAGCUGGUCUGCGAGGAUGACCAGCCACACUGGAACUGGAACACGGUCCAGACUCCUACGGGAGGCAGCAGUGGGGAAUAUUGCACAAUGGGCGCAGGCCUGAUGCGGCCAUGCCGCGUGUGUGAAGAAGGCCUUCGGGUUGUAAGGCACUUUCAGCGGGGAGGCGUUACCCGCAGAGAAAGCACCGGCUAACUCCGUGCCAGCCGCCGCGGUAAUUC